UAAAUAUCCACAAGAAAUAAAACAGAAAAAAUAAAUAAAAUGAAUUAAGUCUCUGCAAACAAAACAGUCCUUCAAAAUAAAGCUCAGUUGAGACCAAAUCACCAAACUGAAGACUUUGAUAUCCAGUUCUGAUAAAUUAUGCAAGUCAACGUUAUUGAAUUUGUUUUAAUUUAUCAUGUGGUUAAUUGAUUUAUUGACUAUUAUGACAGGCCUAGUUAUAACUUAAUAGUAAUUUCUGUUCUGCCUGUCACUGUAACAAAUUUUGCUGAGCGAUUAAUUGUCUCAAACAUUAUUGCGAUAAACGAUAAUAUUGCUUGAAGACCAUUUAAACUGAUGUAAUGGUAAUGACAUAAUAAUGCAAGUUCAUCCUGCCAAAAAAUAAAAACACUUUAUUUUCAAAAGAACAAUUAAAGCUGGAACUGUUAAACAAAACGACCAAAAAUAAAUAACUCAGUCUCCGUUAACAAAAAAUGUACUUGAGUAAAAACUAAACAUAAAACCAAAGUGGAAAUAAAAACUACAUUCAACCAAAAGUGUGCAGAUUAUGAAGUCUGUUUACUAUGUUGCCGUUCAAUAAUCAAUAGAUUUAGAUGGAGAAGACGGCCUGGGGCAAUAGUUCACUCCUCCAUUAAGGAAACGAGGAAGGCCUUUUUCAUCCUGAGUCAUCAACAGGAAGAGAAAAAGGCAGGAAGAAACGAUAAAGCCGGUACCUCUGCGACUUCACCUACUACACGUCUCUGUACCUGAGCCGCGGCCGCUCCGCCUUCCACCACGUGCCUCCUCUGGGAAAGCCUUACAGCGGGGAGGAGCUGGGCGCGCGCUGCAGGCCAUCAUCAGGGAGAUGCUGGAGCUCCUGGACCAGGCGGAGGACCAGAUUCACUGCCAGCAGCACAUCCACUAAGUGACCUCCCUGCAGCGUCUCCAGCCCGAGGCACACAAGACUAAUUGCACUUGACCACAAGUAGCCAAAACUUACUUUUCUUGUUUUUAGUUUUUUUUAUUUUUCUUGCUCUUAAUUUACUGAACUUUUGAGAUUUGGCCAUUUUU